UACGAAGGGGGCUAGCGUUGCUCGGAAUCACUGGGCGUAAAGCGCGCGUAGGCGGCCCGGCAAGUCCGUUGUAAAAGUCGAAGGCUCAACCUUCGAAAGCCGAUGGAUACUGCCGGGCUAGAGUACGGAAGAGGCGAGUAGAAUUCCUGGUGUAGCGGUGGAAUGCGCAGAUAUCAGGAGGAAUACCCAUAGCGAAGGCAGCUCGCUGGGACGUAACUGACGCUGAGGCGCGAAAGCGUGGGGAGCAAACAGG
rnacentral:rRNA from 1 species